rnacentral:rRNA from 1 species
CAGCAGCCGCGGUAAUACAGAGGGUGCGAGCGUUAAUCGGAUUUACUGGGCGUAAAGCGUGCGUAGGCGGUUACUCAAGUCAGAGGUGAAAGCCCGGGGCUCAACCCCGGAACUGCCUUUGAAACUAGGUGACUAGAAUCUUGGAGAGGUCAGUGGAAUUCCGAGUGUAGAGGUGAAAUUCGUAGAUAUUCGGAAGAACACCAGUGGCGAAGGCGACUGACUGGACAAGUAUUGACGCUGAGGUGCGAAAGCGUGGGGAGCAAACAGGAUUAGAUACCCCUGUAGUCCCUGUCUCUUAUAA